GACGAACGCUGGCGGCGUGCUUAACACGUGCAAGUCGAACGGAAAGGCCCUGCUUGCCGGGUACUCGAGUGGCGAACGGGUGAGUAACACGUGGGUGAUCUGCCCUGCACUUCGGGAUAAGCCUGGGAAACUGGGUCUAAUACCGGAUAGGAGCCAUUUUUAGUGUGAUGGUUGGAAAGUUUUUUCGGUGUAGGAUGAGCUCGCGGCCUAUCAGCUUGUUGGUGGGGUAAUGGCCUACCAAGGCGGCGACGGGUAGCCGGCCUGAGAGGGUGGACGGCCACAGUGGGACUGAGAUACGGCCCAGACUCCUACGGGAGGCAGCAGUGGGGAAUAUUGCACAAUGGGCGCAAGCCUGAUGCAGCGACGCCGCGGGGGGGAUGACGGCCUUCGGGUUGUAAACUCCUUUCGCUAGGGACGAAGCUUUUUGUGACGGUACCUAGAUAAGAAGCACCGGCUAACUACGUG
rnacentral:rRNA from 1 species